GAUGAAGAACGUAGCGAAAUGCGAUAAGUAAUGUGAAUUGCAGAAUUCAGUGAAUCAUCGAAUCUUUGAACGCACAUUGCGCCCGCCAGUAUUCUGGCGGGCAUGCCUGUUCGAGCGUCAUUUCAACCCUCAGGCCCCGCCUGGCGUUGGGGAUCGGCGCGGCCCUCUCCGGGCUGCCGGCCCCGAAAACUAGUGGCGGUCUCGCUGUAGUCCUCCUCUGCGCAGUAGCAACGCUCGCACUGGAACACGGCGCGGCCACGCCGUAAAACACCCCACUUCUGAAAGUUGACCUCGGAUCAGGUAGGAAUACCCGCUGAACUUAAGCAUAUCAAUAAGCGGAGGA
rnacentral:misc_RNA from 1 species